ensembl:snoRNA small nucleolar RNA SNORA8
UGCCAAUUAUAUAAAAGACACUUGCUAGAGUUUAUUCCUGUGGGUGUGUUCGAAGGGUAGUGCAACAGAAAUUCCCUAUCUGACAUAGUUGGUGCUCUUAUGGUUUGUCAAACCUGGUAUUUCUAAUGAUGUGGUC